UACGAUAUUGAUGAUGAGAGCAGCGGCAAU
rnacentral:sRNA from 1 species